CGGUGCUCCAUCUCCUCGCCGCUCUGCUCGAUGACGACCUCGGGAUGACGACGAUGGCAAAGCUCGGGAUGGCGCCGGCGCCGGCGGGGCCCCGCCGCCCCCCCCCGACCCGGCGACGACGGCGACCACAACGACCGCAAACGGCUAGGAGGAGAGGUGGCUAGGAGGAGGAGAGGUGGUGCAGGGUGGGCCCCACGGCUGGGAGGAGAUGGCAAGACUGCUUAGGGUGGCCAAAACUACUGAUUUGGCCAGUGAGAUAGCCAUCUAAAUAGAGAGGUCGUUGGACCUCGUUUUUCUGCUUUGUUGGCUACUUUUUAGUUUGGAGAGUGGGAUAACAAGACUGUUGCACAUGCCCUUAUGAGCCAUCCCUCCCCUAACUCCUUCCACAUGCCAACCCUACUUAGGCUUAACACAAAUUUCCUCAUUUUUUAUGUGCAC
rnacentral:lncRNA from 1 species